rnacentral:rRNA from 1 species
AAGAUUACCGAAGUUAAGCAUCAAUGGGCGCGGUCAGUACUUGCGUGGGUGACUACCUGGGAACACUGCGUGCCGUU